GGUGCGUAGGCGGGUUUGUAAGUCAGUGGUGAAAUCCCCGAGCUUAACUUGGGAACCGCCAUUGAUACUGCAAGUCUUGAAUUUUCUGGAGGUAAGCGGAAUAUGUCAUGUAGCGGUGAAAUGCUUAGAUAUGACAUAGAACACCCAUUGCGAAGGCAGCUUACUACGGGAAUAUUGACGCUGAGGCACGAAAGCGUGGGGAUCAAACAGGAUUAGAUACCCUGGUAGUCCACGCCCUAAACGAUGAUUACUCGACAUUAGCGAUAUUACAGUUAGUGUCUAAGCGAAAGCAUUAAGUAAUCCACCUGGGAAGUACGACCGCAAGGUUGAAACUCAAAGGAAUUGGCGGGGGUCCGCACAAGUGGUGGAGCAUGUGGUUUAAUUCGAUGAUACGCGAGGAACCUUACCUGGGCUAGAAUGCUGGGAGAUCGAUGGUGAAAGCCAUCUUUGUAGCAAUACACUGCCAGUAAGGUGCUGCAUGGCUGUCGUCAGCUCGUGCCGUGAGGUGUCGGGUUAAGUCCCGCAACGAGCGCAACCCCUAUCUUUAGUUGCCAUCAGGUAAUGCUGGGAACUCUAAAGAAACUGCCGUCGUAAGGCGUGAGGAAGGAGGGGAUGAUGUCAAGUCAUCAUGGCCUUUAUGCCCAGGGCUACACACGUGCUACAAUGGGGCGUACAAAGGGCUGCAACAUAGUGACAUGAAGCUAAUCCCAAAAAACGCCUCUCAGUUCAGAUUGAAGUCUGCAACUCGACUUCAUGAAGCUGGAAUCGCUAGUAA
rnacentral:rRNA from 1 species